CAGUCGCCGCGGUAAUACGUAGGGUGCGAGCGUUAAUCGGAAUUACUGGGCGUAAAGCGGGCGCAGACGGUUACUUAAGCAGGAUGUGAAAUCCCCGGGCUCAACCUGGGAAUUGCGUUCUGAACUGGGUGGCUAGAGUGUGUCAGAGGGGGGUAGAAUUCCACGUGUAGCAGUGAAAUGCGUAGAGAUGUGGAGGAAUACCGAUGGCGAAGGCAGCCCCCUGGGAUAGCACUGACGUUCAUGCCCGAAAGCGUGGGUAGCAAACAGGAUUAGAUACCCGUGUAGUCCCUGUCUCUUAUAC
rnacentral:rRNA from 1 species